rnacentral:rRNA from 1 species
GUGCCAGCAGCCGCGGUAAUACGGAGGGUGCAAGCGUUAUCCGGAUUCACUGGGUUUAAAGGGUGCGUAGGUGGCUUUGUAAGUCAGUGGUGAAAUCUCGGAGCUUAACUCCGAAACUGCCAUUGAUACUGCUUAGCUUGAAUCAAGUAGAGGUGGAUGGAAUAUUACAUGUAGCGGUGAAAUGCUUAGAUAUGUAAUAGAACACCGAUUGCGAAGGCAGUUCACUAUGCUUGUAUUGACACUGAGGCACGAAAGCGUGGGGAUCAAACAGGAUUAGAAACCCUGGUAGUCC